GAAAUAAAAGAUAAAUGAAAGCUGCUAACUUAUCAUUUUAGUGGUUUAAUUCCAUUAAUAUUUCU
rnacentral:tRNA from 1 species